rnacentral:rRNA from 1 species
AUUGAACGCUGGCGGCAUGCCUUACACAUGCAAGUCGAACGGUAACAGGUUAAGCUGACGAGUGGCGAACGGGUGAGUAAUACAUCGGAACGUGCCCAGACGUGGGGGAUAGCUCGGCGAAAGCCGGAUUAAUACCGCAUAAGCUCUGAGGAGGAAAGCGGGGGACCGUAAGGCCUCGCGCGUUUGGAGCGGCCGAUGGCAGAUUAGGUAGUUGGUGGGGUAAAGGCUUACCAAGCCUACGAUCUGUAGCUGGUCUGAGAGGACGACCAGCCACACUGGGACUGAGACACGGCCCAGACUCCUACGGGAGGCAGCAGUGGGGAAUUUUGGACAAUGGGCGAAAGCCUGAUCCAGCAAUGCCGCGUGCAGGAUGAAGGCCUUCGGGUUGUAAACUGCUUUUGUACGGAACGAAAAGGCGCCUACUAAUACUGGGUGUUGAUGACGGUACCGUAAGAAUAAGCACCGGCUAACUACGUGCCAGCCGCCACCGUAAGAC